ACGAACGCUGGCGGCGUGCUUAACCCAUGCAAGUCGAACGAUGACGACCGAGCUUGCUCGGUCUGAUUAGUGGCGAACGGGUGAGUAACACGUGAGCAACCUGCCCUUCACUCUGGGAUAACCUCGGGAAAUCGGGGCUAAUACCGGAUAUGAGCUCCUGUCGCAUGGCGGGUGUUGGAAAGUUUUUCGGUGAAGGAUGGGCUCGCGGCCUAUCAGUUUGUUGGUGAGGUAGUGGCUCACCAAGGCGAUGACGGGUAGCCGGCCUGAGAGGGCGACCGGCCACACUGGGACUGAGACACGGCCCAGACUCCUACGGGAGGCAGCAGUGGGGAAUAUUGCACAAUGGGCGAAAGCCUGAUGCAGCGACGCCGCGUGAGGGAUGACGGCCUUCGGGUUGUAAACCUCUUUCAGCAGGGAAGAAGCGAAAGUGACGGUACCUGCAGAAGAAGCGCCGGCUAACUACGUG
rnacentral:rRNA from 1 species